UACUUAAUUGUUGAAAGAUGGAUUUGUAUUACCAAUGCUGAGGUGGGCAUUACAAUUUUCUUUCAAGGGAACAGACCAAACCAAACUGCGACUUUAUUUGUAAAUAUUUAAAAUUUAUAUUAUGUCUCUUAUGUGAUCUCAGAGGACUUAAUUUUUGUGUGGGGACCUCAAGCUACCUUUAGUGACUUACAAGCUAUCAACCAACAACGGUUUUCCCUGCUUUUGGAGCCUGCUAAGCUAUCAACAAACAAAGAGGUACUAUGCUGAGACUGAAGAGGAUGCUAGCCAGCGGCCCAUCUCUCUUGCCGUCACCGCUGAGCCGCCAUGUCUCCUUCAUAGGCUUAUUGUAUUGCUACAUGUUUAUGCUUCUUAUCCACUCACCCAUUGUAGUGUAGGUCUGUUGCGGCAAUUGGAUGCUUCAAAGGAUUUUAAUGGAGUUUAUUGUAGCUGAGUCGUGAAUCUCCAGCUUGCUUCCAUGUCUUUUCUCACUAGAGACACCUCCUGCCGGCGACGGCGAUGACUGCUACCCUGCUCCUCUCCCGGCAAAGGCCUGUCUACCUCUCCUGUGAAGUUAAGGCCAUCUUUGCCUCUUCCUUCAGUUUUUCCUCUGUUUUUUGUUACACGACUUUGUGGUGCUUAGUGUAUAUAUCAUUCCCCCCUGUCCAUUGUUUGAACAACUCUGCUACAUGUGAUUGCAUUAGCAAACUCCAUUUUUGUUUAUGUAGAAAAACAAAGGAAACUCCAUUUUUGUGUAUGUGAAAAAAACAAAGGAAACUGCAUUUUGUGUAAUUACAAACAAAUGAAACUCCAUUUUUGUGUAAUUACAAACAAAUGAAACUCCAUUUUUGUGUAAUUACAAACAAGAGACUUUUAGACGGCGAAGACUGCUGCCCUGAUCCUAAGAGCCUACUGACAUUUCACCAAAUCUUGUUAUAAUUUUUUUAUCAGCAGCAGAUACUUUUAAAUUUGUCUUUACAAUUCCAAGUACACGACCAUACUGAUCCUUCUAUUUUUGAUGUAGCAGAACAAACGUUCGUAAUUUAUACACUUAGGCUCAGCUUCUCUAUAUUGAUACGAAGGCCUGGAGCGUGUUUCUUUUGUUUUCAACUCGAGGGGACCAGAACCUGGCGGCGCAAUAGCAGCUCAACUACUAUUGUUAUUAAUCAGGAUAAAUGCUUCUGCCUGGCUGGCACACAUGCUUAGGCACAACAGUCUGCCCCAGCACCGCAGGGCAAGGCGCGCUGCAGGUCAUUUAUAUAGCAUCUCCUCAUUUGUAUAUUAUUCACAUAUAGCAUCUCAUUACUUGGUUGAUUGCUUACAUGUAUUCAACUUCUGGCUCUUUCGCUCCCAAGCUGACCUCCCUGAGGGGAUUGGUGAGGCCCAAGCCCGUUUUCCAGAGAGCUUUUUCUAUAUAGCUGUCCAAAUGCACCAGCCUUCCUCUUUAAUGCAUCAACGACAGAGGCUAGUCACUGACAAGUACCAUGAACUUUAUUAA